GCAGUGUUGAGGAGUCCCACAAUAGGACGAAACAGUUGUCCAUUAC
rnacentral:hammerhead_ribozyme from 1 species